rnacentral:rRNA from 1 species
CCUACGGGAGGCUGCAGUGAGGAAUAUUGGUCAAUGGGCGAGAGCCUGAACCAGCCAAGUCGCGUGAGGGAGUACUGCCCUAUGGGUUGUAAACCUCUUUUGUCGGGGAGCAAAAGCCGGACGUGUCCGGCUGUGAGAGUACCCGAAGAAAAAGCAUCGGCUAACGCCGGGCCAGCAGCCGCGGUAAUACGGAGGAUGCGAGCGUUAUCCGGAUUUAUUGGGUUUAAAGGGGGCGCAGGCGGAUUUUUAAGUCAGCGGUCAAAUCGUGGGGCUCAACCCCAUCCAGCCGUUGAAACUGGGGGUCUAGAGUGGGCGAGAGGUAUGCGGAAUGCGUGGUGUAGCGGUGAAAUGCAUAGAUAUCACGCAGAACCCCGAUUGCGAAGGCAGCAUACCGGUGCCCAACUGACGCUCAGGCACGAAAGCGUGGGUAUCGAACAGGAUUAGAUACCCGGGUAGUC